AUCUGUGCAGGGAUUUAAUAGGGAUCCUGAUAGGAGAUACAGUACCAUAGUAGCAGAGCCAUCCUGUACUGAACCAUGUCCUGGGCUGCCCUCCUCCUCUCUCUCACCUCUCUCUGCACAUAUUCGGCCGCCCAAGUCUCACUAACACAGCCGGUGUCUGAAUCAGUGAAGCCGGGGGAGACAGUGAGAAUCUCCUGCACACUCAGUGGUUACAGUAUCAGUGAUCGCUCUGUGUACUGGUUCCAACAGAAAUCAGGGAAUCGCCCCAGAUACUUACUGUAUUUCUAUUCAGACUCAGGCAAACACCAGGGAGCUGGGGUGCCUGAUCGGUUCUCUGGAUCCAAAGAUUCCCCUAAUAAUGUUGGCUAUUUAACCAUUAGAGGAGCCUUACUAGAAGAUGAUGCAGAUUAUUACUGUGCCAUAUAUCAUCCUCCAUCCAGCUCGUUGCACAGUGGUGUAUUGCUGUGAGGAACUGAAACAAAACUUCAGAUACAUCUUUGUUGCAGUUAUAUAAAGGCAAGUUUAAGUCACAGCUCUUUUGCAAAAAUAGAGUAAAGACAUUGGUGAUUUACUAUACAAGCCAAAGAGACCCAGGCAUAGGGCCGGAGUGUAAAGGGGCAGGCUGCAGGAGUAAUUGUAGAAGGUCCAUUGUAUAAGAAUUGCUUCUGCAACCUUUAUGCAUAAUAUAGUCUCUCUAGUCUCUCACUGAUCACAUUACUAUCAUUUAACCAUUGCCUAUUUGUAUCUGUAAGUUGCCCUCCCAUCUAGGUUGUA